AUUGAACGCUGGCGGCAGGCCUAACACAUGCAAGUCGAACGAGUGGCGGACGGGUGAGUAAUGUCUGGGAAACUGCCUGAUGGAGGGGGAUAACUACUGGAAACGGUAGCUAAUACCGCAUACCUUCCGAUGUGCCCAGAUGGGAUUCGCUUGUUGGUGGGGUAACGGCUAACCAAGGCGACGAUCCCUAGCUGGGCUGAGAGGAUGAACAGCCACACUGGAACGGAGACACGGUCCAGACUCCUACGGGAGGCAGCAGUGGGGAAUAUUGCACAAGGGGCGCAAGCCUGAUGCAGCCAUGCCGCGUGUAUGAAGAAGGCCUUCGGGUUGUAAAGUACUUUCAGCGGGGAGGCGUUAAACGAAGAAGAAGCAACGGCUAACUCCGUGCCAGCAGCCGCGGUAAUUG
rnacentral:rRNA from 1 species